GACGAACGCUGGCGGCGUGCCUAACACAUGCAAGUCGAACGAGGUCCAUCCUUCGGGAGAAGACCUAGUGGCGAACGGGUGAGUAACACGUGAGAAACCUGCCCCCGAAGACCGGGAUAACCCUCCGAAAGGAGAGCUAAUACCGGAUGCCCCCACCGAGCCGCAUGGCUUGGUGAGGAAAUGGAUUCCGCUUCGGGAGGGUCUCGCGGCCUAUCAGCUAGUUGGUGGGGUAACGCCCACAAGGCAUCGACGGGUAGCUGGUCUGAGAGGACGAUCAGCCACACUGGGACUGAGACACGGCCCAGACUCCUACGGGAGGCAGCAGUGGGAAUCUUGCGCAAUGGGCGAAAGCCUGACGCAGCAACGCCGCGUGGGGGAUGAAGGCUCUCGGGUUGUAAACCCCUUUCAGCAGGGACGAAAUCAGACGGUACCUGCAGAAGAAGCUCCGGCUAACUACGUGCCAGCAGCCGCGGUAAU
rnacentral:rRNA from 1 species